CCUACGGGAGGCAGCAGUGGGGAAUAUUGCACAAUGGGGGAAACCCUGAUGCAGCGACGCCGCGUGAGUGAAGAAGUAAUUCGUUAUGUAAAGCUCUAUCAGCAGGGAAGAAAAUGACGGUACCUGAGUAAGACGCCCCGGCUAACUACGUGCCAGCAGCCGCGGUAAUACGUAGGGGGCAGGCGUUCUCCGGAUUUACUGGGUGGAAAGGGAGCGUAGACGGGAGUGCAAGUCUGGAGUGAAAGGCGGGGGCUCAACCCCCGGACUGCUCUGGAAACUGUACGGCUGGAGUGCAGGAGAGGUAAGUGGAAUUCCUAGUGUAGCGGUGAAAUGCGUAGAUAUUAGGAGGAACACCAGUGGCGAAGGCGGCUUACUGGACUGUAACUGACGUUGAGGCUCGAAAGCGUGGGGAGCAAACAGGAUUAGAUACCCGUGUAGUC
rnacentral:rRNA from 1 species